rnacentral:lncRNA from 1 species
AUAAUUGUAAGCAGCAAAAAUGUUUUGUAAAGUAAGAUCUACAAACACAUCACCAUCACCAAAACACAAUUUUGUCAUGAAUCCAUCUGUGUCCAUGCAUUGUUUAAUAUUCACAUUGACCAAGGUGAGCGACACAGGCUCUUUAGAGCCUCUAGUUCGUAAAUCUUAGUCAUCUUUUAGAAAAAUCUUCUCCUCUGAAUCUACAGGGCC